AUACAUGUGGCGACCACAUUUCUAAUUAAUUCACUGUAGUUAUCUUUUUUCAAAUUUCAAAUCGAUGUGGCCAGUGACAUUUCUAAUUAAUUCAUGUAACCAAAUUUUCAGUUUGUUGUGGCAACUUCAUUUUCCAGUAAAGAUCAAGACUGCCAUUUUUCUUGGCUUCACAUAAGAAGAUAAUGCUAUAUUGAGCUCGAUAGCUAUGUAUAACGGCAUGGUGCUACAUACAGUCUGGACUUUCUUCCUUCUCAACGAUCUUUUUAGCUGACUAUUUACUGACAAUGAGGGAGUGAGAAUUCUAUCCUGGUUGAGUUCAGAACCUCCUAGUAAGAAAUAAAAAUAGUUCAUGUAAUUUCUUUACUCCUUGCCCAUUUCACCUUCUGAACGAUAUUGUUUUGAAGCUUCUGUCUUGUGGAACUAGACCUCCUAGUAAGAAAUAAAAAUAGCCUGCGUACUUUUGUUGUUA